CCGCCAGUUAGGGCGAGGGGUUCGGGGUCCCUCCUAUGGCCAUUUUGGCCAUAGCCGCAAAUCCCCGGGAUGGCGGGCCCGAACAGCCCCCGAGAGAAGAGAUGUCCUCCCCGCAAUCAUCCUAACCCCGAGCCUAUGAGUAUCCGUACCCCAGGGGCGGGGAUAUGCUCGUGAUUCCUCACCGGAGGGUGAGGGGUCACAGCCCCCUUAUGGGGCGGGGAAACGGUGUAGGCCCGGAAGGGAGCACACCUAACCCGGUAUCCUCGUGCUCUGGGGAUUAACGGGUAUGAGGUUGCGGGAUUAGGAUGGUUGCUGGGAGGCUCUCUUCGCGGGGGUGUACUGGCGG
rnacentral:SRP_RNA from 1 species